GCAUGAGAGGCGACAACGGCAAACCAGGAAACCCUGGAGCAAAGUUGUGGAGAGAAAGGCGUAGCUGGUCCUCCGGGUAUUAAAGGAGAUAUGGGUGUACAAGGUCAAAAA